AUUGAGCGCUGGCGGCAGGCUUAACACAUGCAAGUCGAGCGGAGAUGAGGUGCUUGCACCUUAUCUUAGCGGCGGACGGGUGAGUAAUGCUUAGGAAUCUGCCUAUUAGUGGGGGACAACAUUCCGAAAGGAAUGCUAAUACCGCAUACGUCCUACGGGAGAAAGCAGGGGAUCUUCGGACCUUGCGCUAAUAGAUGAGCCUAAGUCGGAUUAGCUAGUUGGUGGGGUAAAGGCCUACCAAGGCGACGAUCUGUAGCGGGUCUGAGAGGAUGAUCCGCCACACUGGGACUGAGACAGGGCCCAGACUCCUACGGGAGGCAGCAGUGGGGAAUAUUGGACAAUGGGGGGAACCCUGAUCCAGCCAUGCCGCGUGUGUGAAGAAGGCCUUAUGGUUGUAAAGCACUUUAAGCGAGGAGGAGGCUACUGAGACUAAUACUACUGGAUAGUGGACGUUACUCGCAGAAUAAGCACCGGCUAACUCUGUGCCAGCCGCCGCGGUAAAAC
rnacentral:rRNA from 1 species